rnacentral:lncRNA from 1 species
GGAGACAAUAAUUUGGUAUAAAAGUCAAUUUAUAAAUACAAGUGCUCAGUGUCCUCAAUUUAAUCCUUAAGGACUUAUCUUAAUAAAUAAUAUUUUAACAAUAUUUUAAUAAAUAAAAAGGGGAGUUAUCCCUGUAUGCUAAAAUAUGCUCCUUUUAUUUCAAUUUUAAAAUUUGGAUGCCAAGGAACACUCUGAGUUUAUGGCACCCUACAGCUAGGCAUACUUCUGCCUAGAUGAAAUAGAAAGAUCCACAUAUUGGCAUGAUCCUGUUCAGAUAUUUUAUAUGGGGAAGAGGGAAUCUUUGUGUUUUUUCUACAGGAUGCUACAGGAGUGUGCCAGCUGCCCGAGUGGCUGGUGAGACUUGCUGAUCCUGUGAGCAUGAAGAUUCAGCUCUCCUGGUUCGGGUCCCUGGAGUCAUUCCUGUGUCCUUGGAGGAAUAUGGAGGAUUCCCACUCAUCUUUUGUCAUCACAGAAAUUCUGGCGUUGCUGCAGUCAUUGUGUCCCGUCCCACCACAGCCUGCGCUCCUACCCUCUGUGCACUGUUGCUUGGUGGAAGCUGCUGUGGACUGGGGAACUCUGCCCUGGUUUUGCAGAUCUCAGACAUGGUUCCAUUGCCUGCUGGUUGUUCCAGAGAAGAAUGACCGAUCCUGAACUGUCCUGGGAAAGACCUUGGCAUUUUCG